CGCGGGGGGAGCAAGCGUUGUUCGGAAUCACUGGGCGUAAAGGGCGUGUAGGCGGUCAAGUAAGUGGAAUGUGAAAGCCCCCGGCUUACCCGGGGAUCUGCAUCCCAAACUGCUUGGCUUGAGUACGGGAGAGGAUAGGGGAAUUCCUGGUGUAGCGGUGAAAUGCGUAGAUAUCAGGAGGAACACCGGUGGCGAAGGCAGCACUCUGGUACGUGACUGACGCUGAGACGCGAAAGCGUGGGGAGCAAACAGG
rnacentral:rRNA from 1 species